UUUUUUUCUAACUUCCCCGUUUAAGCGAUAUAGAGGUUUGAAAUUCACAUGACGUCACAGUCAGCGCGACGACUGCAACUCCUAGCCUCCUGCCUGCUCGGCUUCACCUGAGCUAACAGGCUAAUCCCUGGUCAGUGAACACCACCUGAUACCAUUGAGAGGUUCCACUCACACAUCGGAUGAAUAACACGGUUUGAUGUUCUGCUUGCUCUCCUGACGGACAAGUUAAAGACGUCUGCGCUCCUGUUUCUGUAAAUGUCCAACAUGAGACAUAACUGGAAUCCAAGCCGGGGGAACGCCUCCUACUAGCCUCAUUCUCACUCUGCAGAGACGAACGGACCAUAUGACUUCCAUGUCGACUGUGGCAGUCUGACCAUACUGCAGAGAGAGAGGGGUUUGAACCAGCAACCUUCUAGUUGGAGAACCAUCACUCUAACCACUAGGCCACGCCGCCUUCUACACCAGACAUGACUGAAAGCCACUUCCCCCUGUUCUGCAUCACCUCUUCCCAGGGAUUCUACUACCUGACCUGAUAAUAUACUGUGGCAGCGCUGUAUGCAGUUUGGCCCGGGCAGUGGAGCUGUCCCUGUGUUCCUGGGUCCCAUCUAAUUCUAAUCACCUUGGUUAUUUAUUAUUUAACUGUUUGUUAAUGUAAGCAUAACAUACUUUGAGUGAGCCAACUGAGGGCUGGUUUGAAGCAUAUAUCUGGCCAGUGAAUGUUUAUGGUAAAAGCAACCAUUCAAACGCACCUUUAUCUUGCUUUUUUGUUUAUCUUUUCUGCUUCUUUUCCUUUGCUAUGUAUCAUUACAGUGCACAUGCAUGAGCAAGCAUCAACGUGACACCAGCUCUCAAAUCGUUAGCAGGAAAUUAUUAAACCAGUAGAAUUAACUUACUUGUUCCUUAACAUGAUAUGUUUUUGUACGAUUGCUACAAUUGGUUUUAUAUAACCUUAUUACUCUUGUUGAGGGUUAGGUCAAAGGAUGUCAAACCAUUUUAAAGCCCUACCAGACAAAUUGUGAUUUGUGAAUAUGGGCUAUAUAAAUACAAUUUAAUUGAUUAUUGACGACGGCCCCAUCUUGUGUCAACCCUUUACUCUAAAUGUUGUUUAUCUACCUAUUUAUCUUGUGUUUCUGUUUUUAUUCUUCUACCUAAAUAUUUUUUUUAUUUUUAUUUUAUUCUAUUGUAUUUUAUUGUAUUCAAAUAUACCGGCUGCUAUGACGACAUAAUAUCCCUUCGGGGAUGA